GCGGGAAUAACUCAGUGGUAGAGUGUCAGCUUCCCAAGCUGAAGGUCGCGGGUUCGAGUCCCGUUUCCCGCU
rfam:Deltaproteobacteria bacterium RIFOXYD12_FTLL_55_16 rifoxyd3_full_scaffold_985, whole genome shotgun sequence.